CGACCCCGCGUUCCCCCCUCCGCGGAACACGUGGUUUAGCAAUCCUGCCAGGACCACUUCGCCCUGAUGAGUCGCUUACAACUGACUCCUCGCAAUUCGGAUCAUCAGUGAGGAAGUUAGACUUUUUGGGAGGGUGGAGCUGCCACUUACUUUCCACUGACUUUCAUUUUUGUUUGGAUAGUAGUCUAUAAUCGAAGCAGUAAGCGCAAACCCAGAAUUAAACCUUCCAGCUGCUCUUCCCAGAAACCUCUUCCUUGCAAUACUAAACAAACAGGGAGUCCCAUCAACCGACAGAGGAAGGAAGAAAGAAGGCCUGGAUUAAAGUGCGAAGGAGCAGGCGAAGGCAACGAGCUGGGACAAAAAACGGAAAGGAUCUGAAAGGGAUGACCCUAGACGGAAGGCGCCAUCCAGCCGAAGCGGAUCCUAUGCCUAUUUAUUGGAAAAUAAAGGCGUUCCGUUGAACGGGACGGGACUCGGUCCCUGGUUAAGGGCUGCCGUUCAGGGGCGCCCCCCAGUUUCAGCCGCUUGCAUUUAUUUCAUGAGGAAAAUGCGACUUCUGAGGCUUCUUGAACGCGCUCCCCGCUUUCACACGAAGGGGGCCCUUUCAAAAAGCCUUGUCCCCAUUAAAGAAAUCCUCGACUCGAA